rnacentral:tmRNA from 1 species
GGGGCUGAUUUUGGAAUAGACAGCAAGAUUAUUUAUGAGGGGAAGCAUACCGUGUUGCGUAAUGCCUUACACGUAAAUAAAGCGUUACAUACAUAAUAAAUGGCGAAAAACAAUACGCUUUUGCUGCUUGAAUGAUGAAUGAAACAUCAUUAAGCUUAAUCUGAUACACAUACAGAAGCAAAAUAUCUCUCAGGAAUUCUUCCUUAUAGUUCCUGAAGUCGAGGUAAUCAGAAUAUAAGGAUAAGAAAACGGAUGAUUCUAAAGUUUUCUGAUUCAAUAUUUUUGAAUCUAAGAUUUUGAUCGUAAUCCAAUAGUUCGAUUUUAAUCUGAAAAACUUUACUUUGGAUAAGUAUGUAGAAAUCCUUCGUAGAACUUGUUUGGACGCGGGUUCGAAUCCCGCCAGCUCCACCA